rnacentral:tRNA from 1 species
AGAUCUGUGCCUGAAGUUAAGGUACACUUUGAUAGAGUGUAAAAUAGGGGUUCAAACCCCCUCUGAUCUU